rnacentral:lncRNA from 1 species
GAGCCCGCCCCUCUCCCAGGCUCCUGCUCCAGGGCGAACCCGGGGGUCCUCUCCCAUGGCUCUGUGGGGGACCCCGGGGAGGUCGCCCUGGCACGGGACACUGUCGCGGGGUAGGACCCGAGAGGGUCUGGGGCGGUCAGGCUUCAUCCUGAGCACCGCCCGGGUGCAGGGAGCGCUGGGUGCUGGGCAAUACUUUAAAGACACAAAGUCUCAACAACCAUCUUCCGCUUGACGAGACAGAUCAUUCUAAUUUGAGCAGAAGCUACUAUGUCCUGCCCUUUGAACGCGGCGGCCCGGACAGCUGACAAGGACACACUGUGUAUUUCCAUUCCAAUUCUGGGAGUGCUCUGAGGCCUCUGGGGGAGAAGGACCCAUGAAAUAUUCAAAACAUAAGUGAAUAAAAUAUCUAGGUGCUAGAUAUGGGCCAGGAAGAGCCCUCGGCCCUGCAAAGUGUGUGUGAUGGUGAGAAGCUACCGGAAGAGAUGGUCCCUGUGCUUGGUUCAUUCCUUGGACAUUUAUCAAGCUGACGAAUGUAGCAGAGGUGCUUCAGUCGGCUGUAAUUCCACGGGUGGAGUGCUGGCUGGAGAGUUACCUGGGGCUGUCACACUGCAUGGGCUCCGGGACACUGUGGCUGCCCUUAUGUGGUGUCCCCGGAGGGCCCUGCAGGUGUCACACCGCUGCUCCACACUGCCACCUGCUGUCAGCAUCUGUGCAACGUAUCCAGGUCUCUGGGGGCUAGAAUGAAAAACAUGCAUCUCGUAACCAAUGAAAUCGGGCUUGUCCUGAAGACCUCGUGCAUUCAUCCAUUCUCACACUGCUAUAAAGACAUACCUAAGACUGGGCACUUCAUGAAGAAAAGAGGUUUAAUUGGCUCACGGUUCUGCAGGCUUUACAGGAAGCAUAGCAGCUUCCACUUCUAGGGAGGCCUCAGGAAACUUAUAGUCAUGGUGGAAGGUGAAGGCGGGACAAGGCGUCUCACAUGGGAGCAGUAGAGAGAGAAAAAGAGGGGGUGCCGCACACUUUGAAACAACCAGAUCUAACGAUAACUCACUAUCAUGAGAACAGCACCAAGAAGCUGGCGCUAACCCACUUGUGAAGGACCACCACCAUGAUCCAAUCCCUUCCCACCAGGUCCCACUUCCAACGUUGGGGAUUACACUUCACGGCAUCACCCAGAGCACACCCAGAGCAGCCUGCAGCGGCGUGGAAGGGGCUUGCACUGGCCCCAAGGUGCAGGGGAGCCCUGCCUGCCUGUCUCCUGCUAGGCUUGCCUGGGCUCCCGCCUACAGACCAUGAGAAUUCUUCUAGCAUGGGAAGAGAGUCUGACCAAAGUGACAACAGCCAUCCCCUGACUGCCCAGCACUGUUCACUUCUUCCCAGAUACUCCUACCAGACCAGGUCAGCCCUUCUUUUACUGGGGGGCCAGAAAGGUCCCCCCAAUCCAGUCCAGGACUCCAGAUGAUGCCCAUUUCUCUGCCAGUCCCAGCAAUCUCCCUUCUCAGCAUCUGGCAUCCUGGGAUGUACCCUAAAGUUCACUGGCUCAGAGCACCCUAACUAUGGCUGCGGCGAGGGGGGAGGGCGGGAUCAGGUCGGCGUGCUGCACAUGGGUCCUGGGGCGGGAACAGUAUUCUGGCUAUGCUCCUGCAGCUGGGCCCUCACAAGGGGCAGCGUCUGCACCCUCUCAAGGCUUUGCAGAUAAGGGUUUAUUGAAGAGGGAGGUGACCCACACCAUCCCCACUGAGGGAUCUGGUUAGGGGGCUCCCCCCAGAAUGUAGGCAAGAGGGCAGCAUCUUGAUAGUGAGGGUUGGUCACCCGGGAACCACAGUAACGUCUGCAGGGACCUUCCCCCAGUGGCACGCACUUCCCAGAAUGCUCACGGUCACCCUCAGCUUUCAACUGUGGGGACCUAACGCGUCUCCUGGUAGAGUCCUCACUCCCUUGGCUAAAACUUCUGAAAGCAGCGAGGCCGGGCUCCCUGGCUAGGAUGGCUCUGGCCCUGAGCAGGUCAUUUGCGUCAAGUUUCACCACCCAGCACCCUGUGCUUUCCCCAGCUGGCUGCACGCUGGGCCUCCGGGAAGCCGGCAAGCCCACCUGAUUCUGGAUCCUCCCUCCGAGCCUGGGUGACGCUGUCAUGAAAGAAGCUGCCAGAAGCCCACAGCAGGGCAGUUAGGCAGGGAAUGCGAGUCCGUGUCCAGAGCAAGGGUGACUCCAGUCCCUCCAGGACGGAGAAGCCAGUGCGACCCACUGUCCCAGGCCCCCAUGGCCCUGGCUGCUCCUGGCGGACAGAGGGGCAUGUUGCCCACGCUAUGCCUUGUUCCCUCUGGGCUGCCAUGGCCCCUGGAACAAUUCCUGGGACAGCCUGGGGAGGAGGCUGACAAUCAUGCAAGGUGGAUGCAGCUUGGCCCCUCCCAGUCACCUAUGUGUUCCUUCCUCAGACUCCCGUGGGGCUGGAGUCAUGAUUUUGCUCCCCAUCCCAUCUGUAGGCCGCCCCUGCCUGGAUGAGACCACGCUGACACUCACACGCCUCCCUCCAGGAGGACCUUGCCUCCACUUUCUCCAGGGCCACCUGUGAUGCACCAGGAUCCAUCCUGUAAUCCCAGCUACUUGGGAGGCUGAGGCAGGAGAAUCACUUGAACCUGGGAGGCGAGAGGCAGAGGUUGCAGUAAUAAGCCAAGAUUGGACCACAGCACUCCAGCCUUAGCAAUAGAGAGAGACUUCGUUUCAAAAAAAAAAACCUAUGCAAAUCCCAAUUACACACGCUGAGUGGCAUGUUCAGCUGAGCCACCUGCCCAAGGCGGGACCCUCUCUUCCUCCGUCUGCAGGUCACAUGGAGAUGGCAGAGCACCUGCACGUGCACCUGGAGACCCUCUCAAGCCUCGUCUCCUGGCACUGCCUCCUCCUGACAUUGGAGGCUGCUGGGAGUACCAGCCUGUAACCCUCGUUGUGAUGGCACCUGCCUGGUGCUAUAAUUCAGACAUUUGUCUCCCCAACCUCAUGUUGAAAUUUGAACCCCAAUGUUGGAGGUGGGACCUGACAGAAGGUGCCUAGGACAUGAGAGCUUGGUGCUGUCCUCGCGGUCAUGAAUGCAUUCAUGCUUUAUUCCUUCUCACAAGAACUGAUUGUUAAAAACGCUUGGCACCUCCUCUGCCCACUCUCUCUUGCUCCCUCUCUCACCAUAUGGUCUGCAUGCACCUGCUCCCAUCGCCUUCUGCCAUGAGUGGACACUUCCUGAGGCCUCACCAGAAGCAGAUGCUGGCACCAUGCUUCUUGUACAGCCUGCAGAACUGUGUGCCAAAUAAACCUCUUUUCUUUAUAAAUCACCCAACCUCCCAACACAAAUCGUCCAAGACACCUGGUGUCCCCCAAACAGCUCCUUGGUCAACCUCAGAUUCAGGACCAAUCUGAGAGCUGUUUCCGUGAAGGGAGGAGAGGAGAGUUGUUAGCUGAAGAGGACAUGGGUUUGCUCAAGAUCCCUGCAUUCUCCACUAUGGCUCUCUGAUUCUCCUCUCUGAGCUUGUGGCAGACACGGCAGAUACCUCAAGCAUGGCUGGGCAGCAGAUGCUGGCUGAGAGGAAGUGGCUGAGCCCAACUUGUCCCUCCUCAGACCCCAGAAUUGCCAAGACCAGAGUCCUCCAUAAAGACCUCACAAACAGGCAAUCACUGCAUGCUUUUCCACAAUUAAAUAUGUGCACAUCUUAAGGAAAGGACCUAACAUCCUUCAGCAGUAUCUCUUUCCAGGGCAGGGAGUGACUGCGUCAGCAGCCUCAAGUACCUGGAAACUGUCCACAUCAGGCAAAGUGGUGGGAGAGACACAGAUGUUUCCACCAGCAUUUAAAAGAAAGGAAAGAAAAUUAUUGACAAGAAGCCUCCAUGGUGGAUCAGGCUUCAACGUUUUGAUGGACCUGGCCUCUCUUGGAAGCAAAUCCCUGGAUGGAGCCCAUGUCUCUUUGGGCCCCCAAAGGCAGCCUGACCUUGACACGGAGUGCAAAGCAGACUCAGCUGCUUGUGUUUAAUGGGGAUUCGCAUAGUUGGUUUUUGGUUUUGUUUUUGUUUUGUUUUGUUUUUUGUUUUUUUUUGAGAUGGAGUCUUGCUGUGUUGCCUAGGCUGGAAUGCAGUAGCGUGAUCUCUGCUCACUGCCUGCAACCUCUGCCUCCCCAGUUCAAGUGAUUCUCUUGCUUCAGCCUCCCGAGUAGCUGGGAUCACAGGCACGUGCCACCAUGCCCUGCUAAUUUUUGUAUUUUUAGUGGAGAUGGGGUUUCACCAUGUUGGCCAGGCAGGUCUCGAACUCCUGACCUCAAGUGAUCCUCCCACCGCAGCCUCGAACAAUGCUGGGAAAACAGGCGUGAGCCACUGUACCCAGCUGGGAUUUGUGUAGUUUUGUCCGUGCUGUUAUAUGGUGCACUGGGCAGAGCCAGCCAGUCCCGCCUCGAGCCCCGUUACUUUGGUCUCUGAUGCAGAUGUUGUGUGGCAGUGGAACGGCCUCAUCAGCCCCACCUGGGACCUGGCAGGGGAUGGGUCUGAGCAGCCCUAGAGGAGGGUCCCCAGGGCCCACAGCAAGGGUGACAUGACCCACACCAUCCCCACUGAUGGGACCCACACAGUGAACCUCCUCCCACACCCCCUCCCCAGCCGGCCACUUGGACCAGAGAGACGUUAUCAAAGUGCCCUCUCAGAAACGUCGCCUUCAUCCACCAUCCUCUUUUAACCCACUGGGCUUGGUCAGGAAGCCGUUGGUCAGCAGGGGGCAGGUGGGGUUGGGGGGCACCCUUAUGUCCUGUGAGACCCUAGCAGGCACUCCAGCUUGGGAUUUCCAGAGGCUCUGAGGUGGCUAAGAACAGGAUGACAAAUCGACUCCAAGGUUCAACUCUUCCCCUCAUGGACACUCCUCCCUAUGCUGUUCUCAUCUCAAAUUUUACCUGUUUUUCUCAAAGUAGCUCACCAGAGGUUGGAAAUGAGAUCAAAGGUCAGCGUGGAUCUCAACAUUAUUAUUCAUCAGGGAAAUGCAAAUCACACCAGAGAUGAGACGCCAUGACACUCACACUAGCAGGGCUAAAAUUUAAAAGUCUAGCUGGGGCUGGGCAUGGUGGCUCAUGCCUGUGAUCCCAGCACUUUAGGAGGCCAAGGCAGGAGGAUUGCUUGAAGCCCAGGAGCUCAAGACCAGCCCCGGCACCAAAGCAAAACUGUACCUCUACAAGAAUUUUUUUUUUAAUUGGCUAGAUGUGGUACACAUGCCUGUGGUCACAGCUACUUGGGAGGCUGAGGAGGGAGGAUCACUUGAGUCCACGAGUUCGAGGCUUGGUGAACUGUGAUCAUGCCACUGCACUCCAGUCUGGGCAACAGAGUGGGACCUCAUCUCUUAAAAAUAAAGAAAAGGAAAGGAGUGGAAAGGAGAGGAGAGGAAGAAACUUGAUAUUUCAAUUAUUUUAAAUUUGUUGAGACUUGUUUUGUGGCCUAACAUAUGGUCUAUCCUGGAGAAUGUUCCAUGUGCUGAGGAAAAGAAUGUAUAUUCUGUACAGCUGUUGGAUGGAAUGGUCUGUAAAUGUCUGUUAGGUCCAUUUGGUCUAAACCAUAGUUUAAAUCCAAUGCUUAUUUGUUAAUUUUCUAUCUGAUGAUAUGUUGAAGGCUGACAGUGUGAUGUUGAAGACCCCAACUGUUACUAUAUUAGAGUCUCUCUCUUUAGAUCUAAUAAUAUUCACUUUAUAUAUCUGGAUGAUUUGGUGUUGGGUGCAUAUAUAUUUACAAUUGUUAUAUCUUCUUGCUGAGUCAGUCCCUUUAUCGUUAUAUAAUGACCUUCAUCUCUUUGUAGUUUUUGACUUAAAGUCUGUUUUAUCUGAUAGAAAUAUAGCUACUAUCGCUCACUUUGGGUUGAUGAAAUAUCUUUUUACAUCCCUUCCCUUUUAGUCUGUAUGUGUAUUUAUAGGUGAAGUGAGUUUCUAACAGGCAGUAUAUAGUUAGGUCAUUAAAAAAAAAUCCAUUCAGCGAGUCUGUAUCUUUUAAGUGGGGAAUUUCAUCCAUUUACCUUCAGGAUUAUUAUUGGUAGGUGAGGGUUUAUUUUAUAAUUUUGUUAAUUGUUUUCUGAUUGUUUUGUAUAUCCUUUGUUUCUUUGUUCCUUUCUUCCUUCUCAUUAUUUAUCAUUGAGGUUGGGUGGUUUUCUGUAGUGAUAAGGUUUGAUUCUUUUCUUUUUCUGUUUUGGAUAUUUGCUUUACCACUGAGUUUUAUACUUUUGUGUGUUUUCAUGAUAGUGAUUGUCAUUUUUUCACUCACAGAUGUAGGAUUCCCUUGAGCAUUUCUUGUAAGAUCAGUCUAAUGGUGAUGAUUUCCCUCAAUUUUUGCUUGUCUGGGAAAUAUUUUUUUUUUCUCUCUCAUUUCUGAAGAAUAUGUAGUAUAGUAUUCUUGGCUGACUUUUUUUCUUUCAAUACUUUGAAUAUAUUAUCUCAUUCUCUCCUGCCCUGUAAUGUUUCUGUGAGAAAUCUUAUGUUAGUCUAAUGAGGAUUCCCUUAUAUGUGACUUGAUGAUUUUCUCUUGCCAUUUUUAGAAUUCUUUGUCUUUUACUUGAAAGUUUGACUAUAAUGUGCCUGUAAGAGGACAUUUUGGGGUUGAAUCUACUUGGGGACUUUGAGCUUCUUAGAUGUCAGUGUUCAUAUCUCUCCCCAGACUUGGGAAUUUUUUAGCUCUUAUUUCAUUAAAUAGGUUUUCUUUGCCUUUCUCCUUCUCUUCUACUUUUGAAAUUCCCAUAACAUGAACAUUUGUUCACUUAGUAGUGUUACAUACUUGUAGGCUGUCUUCACUCUUUUUCAUUCUCAUUUCUUUUUCUCUCUGAUGGGGUAAUUUCAAAUAACCAGUUUUCAAGUUCAGAAAUUCUUUUUUCUGCUUGAUCAAGUCUGCUGUUGAAGCUAUCUAUUGUAAUUUUUAUUUGAUUGCUUGAAAUCUUCAGGUAUGGGACUUCUAUUUGGCUCUUUUUAUUAUUUCUAGUUCUUUGUUAAAUUUCUAGUUCACAUAAUGAAUUGUUUUCCUGAUUUUGUUGAAUUAUCUUAUCUACCUGUAUCUCACUGAGUCUCCUUAAGAUUAUUGUUUUGAAUACCUUUUCUGGCAGUUAGUUGAUUUCCUCUUCACUGGGGCCUGUUAGUAGAGAGUUAUUUUGUUCCUUUGGUGAUAUGUUUCCUCGUCUUUUUAUGUUUCUUGUGUCCCCGUGUUGAUGUCUAUGUAUCUGGUGGAACAAUUGCUUCUUUCAAAAUUUCUAGAGUGGCUUUCAUACAGAAAGGCUUUUACCUGCAGUGGAUUUUAGUGUGCCAUUUGGGAAGGGUAUGGUGACUGCUUCUGGAUCAGUGCAGUGGUAUAGUCUCUGCAGCUUCUUCAGCCAUGUUCAACAUUAGCAAUAACUGUGGACCCGUCAGCAGCCUAGGUUGUAGAAGUUCGUGACACUGGUGGGGACAGUGUAGGCUGUUAACAUCCUCAGUUCAAAGGCUGUUGGGGUUCUUCUAGUCUCAUUUUCCCCAUAAUGGGAAGACUAGCAAGGGGGAUUCCUCAGACUCUAGGGGGCUAGUUCAGCUCUAGGGAAGCAGGCAGUUGAGUUGUUCGGCCUGUAAGGUGGGAUGUCUGGGCUCAGCUACUGCUCUGUUUCUCUGGGAUGUAGGGCACUGCGUCAGCUCAGCCAGGGCACUGAUUCCCCUUGCGGUGGUGUGUCGCUUCCGCUCAGGCCUGAGGGACGGGACUGUCCUGGGUGGCCCAGGCAUUUCCCUGGAUGCAGAGUGCUUCUUCAGCUUGGGUUCCAGGAGGCAUGACUGCUCUGAGCAGCCAAGGUAUUGUUUUCCCUGGAGGCCGUUUAUGGCUUUAGCUCCAGCCUGAGGGGGCAAGAGCGGGUAGUGGAGUGGCCCCACCUUUGCUUGGCCCCACAGAGGAGGUGUAACAGCUGCCUGCAGCUUGGCUGGGGGAUGUGGGGCCACUGGGCUGGGGUGGUUGGGCAGCGGCUUAGCUUCAGGGGUGAAGGGGAGCUGGGGCUGCUACCCCAGGAACAAGAUACACUCCAGCAGUAGUUCCAGUUCCAAGAGGGCACCGCGAGGGCCACGGGGGCAGGCACAGUGUCGAUUCCUUCUCCGGCGGGAGCACAGUGGUGUGGCCUCCAGGCAGCUCACUCCACCCUGGGCUUCGUGCCUGUGAGGACUGCAAGGGACCCCAAGGGUGAGGGCGGUGGGUGUCCACGGUGUUGGUGGGGUCUGCUGGGGUCCUCUUGAUUACCUCCUCACUGAAGGGAGGUGUUUUCCUGGGUUCUAGCUGACCCUGGUUAGGGGAUGGGGUGCCAGGGGCCCGGCAUUUCCUUCUGUUCUUUUUGUGACUGUCAUGAAUUUCUGGGCUUGCCAGGGUUGCUGUCGCUCCUCUGAUGUGUUCUGGAGCUCUCUGUGGGGACUUUCAUUAACAUUUCAUGGCUCAUGGCCGGGUGCGGUGACUCAUGCCUGUAAUCCCAGCACUUUUGGAGGCUGAGGCAGGCAGAUCACCUGAGGUCAGGAGUUUGAGACCAGCCGGGCCAACAUGGUGAAACCCCGUCCCUACUAACAAAAAAAAAAAAACAAAAAAACUAGCCAGGCAUGGUGGCAGGCGCCUGUAAUCCCAGCUACUUGGGAGGCUGAGGCAUGAGAAUCACUUGAACCUGGGAGGUACAGACUACAGUAAGCUGAGAUUACACCAUUGCACUCUGGUCUGGGCAAUAAGAAUGAAACACCAUCUCAAAAAAACAAAAAAAACCAUUUCCUGGCUUGUUUACUGUUCUGGGUCUUUGUGAGGGACACCAGUGCUGGGGGCUUCCAGUCAGCUGUUUCACUGAUGUCACUACUCCCUACUUUUUUCUUUUAUUCCAUAUUUUUACUGUACCUUUUCUAUGUUUAGACACACAAAUGCCACUGUGUUACACUCGCCUGCAGUAUUCAGUGCAGUCACACGCUGCACGGGCGUUUAGAUACACAAAUGCCAUCACGUUACAGUCGCCUGCGGUAUUCAGUGCAGUCACACUCUGCACGGGCGUUUAGAUACACAAGUGCCACCGCAUUACAGUGGCCUGCAGUAUUCAGUGCAGUCCCACGCUGCAUGGGCGUUUAGCUACACAAAUGCCACCGCGUUACAGUCGCCUGCAGUAUUCAGUGCAGUCACACUCUGCACGGGCGUUUAGAUACACAAAUGCCACCGCGUUACAGUCGCCUGCAGUAUUCAGUGCAGUCACAUGCUGCACAGGCGUUUCGCUACACAAAUGCCACCGCGUUACGGUUGCCUGCGGUAUUCAGUGCAGUCACACGCUGCACGGGCGUCUGGCUACACAAAUGCCACCGCGUUACAGUCGCCUGCAGUAUUCAGUGCAGUCACACGCUGCACGGGUGUUUAGAUACACAAAUGCCACCCCGUUACAGUCGCCUGGAGUAUUCAGUGCAGUCACACUCUGCACGGGCGUUUAGCUACACAAAUGCCACGGCGUCACAGUCGCCUGCAGUAUUCAGUGCAGUCACACGCUGCACGGGCGUUUAGAUACACAAGUGGCACUGCGUUACAGUCGCCUGCGGUAUUCAGUGCAGUCACACGCUGCACGGGUGUUUAGAUACACAAAUGCCACCACGUUACAGUGGCCUGCAGUAUUCAGUGCAGUCACAUGCUGCACGGGCGUUUAGAUACACAAAUGCCACUGUGUUCGUCGCCUGCAGUAUUCAGUGCAGUCACAGACUGUACAGGUCUGCAGCCCAGGAGUGAUACGCUGCACAGCAUGGCCUAGGUGUCUCACAGAUUCUACCGUCUUGGUGUGUGUGAGUCACCUCUGAUGUUCUCACAACAGCAAAACCGCCUACCGAUGCAUCUCUCAGAAAGUCUCCCUGUCGUUAAGUGACGCAUGACUGUAGCACUCAGCAACAAAAAGGGAGGAAGUACUGACGUGUGGACUUCAGGAUAAUUCUGCCAAACGAAAGAUGUCAGAUGAAAAAGUCUACACAGUAUAAUCCCGUGUAUCCAGAAUCCUACAGCAAACUCACCAACAGUGGCAGGAAGCAGACCUGCGCUUGCUGUAGAUGCAGGACAGGUAGGAGGGAGGAAGGAG